rnacentral:rRNA from 1 species
GACAGAGGGUGCAAACGUUGUUCGGAAUUACUGGGCGUAAAGCGCGUGUAGGCGGCAUGACAAGUCGGGUGUGAAAGCCCUGGGCUCAACCCAGGAAGUGCACUCGAUACUGUCGUGCUAGAGUCCCGGAGAGGGUGGUGGAACUCUCGGUGUAGAGGUGAAAUUCGUAGAUAUCGAGAAGAACACCGGUGGCGAAGGCGGCCACCUGGACGGUGACUGACGCUGAGACGCGAAAGCGUAGGGAGCAAACAGG